GACGAACGCUGGCGACGUGCUUAACACAUGCAAGUCGAACGCUGAAGCUCAGCUUUUGUUGGGUGGAUGAGUGGCGAACGGGUGAGUAACACGUGAGUAACCUGCCCCCCUCUUUGGGAUAACGCCCGGAAACGGGUGCUAAUACUGGAUAUUCACUGGUCUUCGCAUGGGGGUUGGUGGAAAGGGUUUUUCUGGUGGGGGAUGGGCUCGCGGCCUAUCAGCUUGUUGGUGGGGUGAUGGCCUACCAAGGCUUUGACGGGUAGCCGGCCUGAGAGGGUGACCGGUCACAUUGGGACUGAGAUACGGCCCAGACUCCUACGGGAGGCAGCAGUGGGGAAUAUUGCACAAUGGGCGCAAGCCUGAUGCAGCGACGCCGCGUGAGGGAUGGAGGCCUUCGGGUUGUGAACCUCUUUCGCUCAUGGUCAAGCCGCAACAAUGGUUGUGGUGAGGGUAGUGGGCAAAGAAGCGCCGGCUAACUACGUG
rnacentral:rRNA from 1 species